GAAACCAGGUGAUCUACCCUUGGUCAGGUUGAAGUUCAGGUAACACUGAAUGGAGGACCGAACCGACUUACGUUGAAAAGUGAGCGGAUGAACUGAGGGUAGCGGAGAAAUUCCAAUCGAACUUGGAGAUAGCUGGUUCUCUCCGAAAUAGCUUUAGGGCUAGCCUCAAGUGAUGAUUAUUGGAGGUAGAGCACUGUUUGGACGAGGGGCCCCUCUCGGGUUACCGAAUUCAGACAAACUCCGAAUGCCAAUUAAUUUAACUUGGGAGUCAGAACAUGGGUGAUAAGGUCCGUGUUCGAAAGGGAAACAGCCCAGACCACCAGCUAAGGUCCCAAAAUAUAUGUUAAGUGGAAAAGGAUGUGGCGUUGCCCAGACAACUAGGAUGUUGGCUUAGAAGCAGCCAUCAUUUAAAGAGUGCGUAAUAGCUCACUAGUCGAGUGACACUGCGCCGAAAAUGUACCGGGGCUAAACAUAUUACCGCAGCUGUGGAUUGUCCUUUGGACACUGGUAAGAAAGCGUUAUAAGGGCGUCGAAGCAUGAUCGCCAGGACAUGUGGAGCGCUUAGAAGUGAGAAUGCCGGUGUGAGUAGCGAAAGAAGGGGGAGAAGCACGUCCACCGCUUGACUAAGG
rnacentral:rRNA from 1 species